UGCGGAAGGAUCAUUACAGAGUUCAUGCCCGAAAGGGUAGACCUCCCACCCUUGUGUAUUAUUACUUUGUUGCUUUGGCGAGCUGCCUUCGGGCCUUGUAUGCUCGCCAGAGAAUACCAAAACUCUUUUUAUUAAUGUCGUCUGAGUACUAUAUAAUAGUUAAAACUUUCAACAACGGAUCUCUUGGUUCUGGCAUCGAUGAAGAACGCAGCGAAAUGCGAUAAGUAAUGUGAAUUGCAGAAUUCAGUGAAUCAUCGAAUCUUUGAACGCACAUUGCGCCCCUUGGUAUUCCGGGGGGCAUGCCUGUUCGAGCGUCAUUUCAACCCUCAAGCUUAGCUUGGUAUUGAGUCUAUGUCAGUAAUGGCAGGCUCUAAAAUCAGUGGCGGCGCCGCUGGGUCCUGAACGUAGUAAUAUCUCUCGUUACAGGUUCUCGGUGUGCUUCUGCCAAAACCCAAAUUUUUCUAUGGUUGACCUCGGAUCAGGUAGGGAUACCCGCUGAACUUAAGCAUAUCAAUA
rnacentral:rRNA from 1 species